rnacentral:rRNA from 1 species
AUUGAACGCUGGCGGCAUGCCUUACACAUGCAAGUCGAACGGUAACAGGUCUUCGGAUGCUGACGAGUGGCGAACGGGUGAGUAAUGCAUCGGAACGUGCCCAGUUGUGGGGGAUAACUGCUCGAAAGAGCAGCUAAUACCGCAUACGACCUGAGGGUGAAAGCGGGGGAUCGCAAGACCUCGCGCAAUUGGAGCGGCCGAUGUCAGAUUAGGUAGUUGGUGGGGUAAAGGCCUACCAAGCCGACGAUCUGUAGUUGGUCUGAGAGGACGACCAGCCACACUGGGACUGAGAAGCGGCCCAGACUCCGACGGGAGGCAGCAGUGGGGAAUUUUGGACAAUGGGCGCAAGCCUGAUCCAGCAAUGCCGCGUGCAGGAAGAAGGCCUUCGGGUUGUAAACUGCUUUUGUCAGGGAAGAAAUCCUCUGGGUUAAUACCCCGGGGGGAUGACGGUACCUGAAGAAUAAGCACCGGCUAACUACGUGCCAGCCGCCGCCGUAACAC